UAAAACAAAAUAAAAGCUCUGUGCUGGAAAUUCACUGUACUUACUGCAACCCAAUUUUGGGCCCUACACUCCCACAGUUCACCUCCACAGGUGCUUUCACUUGUUUCACCUGACUGAGACCUUUAAAGACCACGUGGGCGUGAAUGUGCUCACUCUCCUGUUGGCUUUGUUGCACCUGUUGGGGACAAAUGACACCUCACCCGGCCUUCAUUUGACUUCAGCCUGACCAGCUGAAGCUCUCAACUCCGUGACCCGAGGACCUUAAGGUGCUGCUGUCACCCUCUCUGAGGUCACAGGAGCUGCAGUGUGCACCAAGAGAACAGUGACCUCUACUGCAUUGUGUGUAGGUUGUGAUCCAGUUCCAUAGAUGCAAGUUCAGCCUAAUGAUCCUCUCUGCAGUAUUUACGAUCCUCUGGAGACCCUCAGUCAUUUAUUUCAUCAUUUACACCUGUGCUUUUUUUCUCAGAAUGUCCUUUGUGGGCAGGAAAUACUGAAAUUAUGAGUUAUUAUGAUCAUGAAGCUAAAUAAAUAAAUAA